UUCGAUUUCUAUUCUUAUAGAUUCUUAUUGCGACCUAAGCAGUUCCUUUUGUCCGUGCAUAUCUUCAAUCAUGCUUUUAACAAGUUCGGUAUACUAGAUUGAGAUUGAGAAAAACAAUCCUCUCUGCUCCGAUUCAGAUUCUAUAUCUAUCCUCCAUCCCGGAGAAAGGGUUUGGUGUAUAAAUAGUUAGAAUUAGAAAGAGAUAGGAGUCGGAAAAGAGUGAUUGAGGAUAGGGCAUAACCCAGAGUUCUUAUUUAACAAACACCAAUCCAAGUGGAAGCAUCUCUAUAUUUCUUUUAUUAUGAAAAAACUCCCUUAAAGAGGCUCGCAUGCUGCUA
rnacentral:lncRNA from 1 species